rnacentral:rRNA from 1 species
GACGAACGCUGGCGGCGUGCUUAACACAUGCAAGUCGAACGGAAAGGCCCUGCUUUUGUGGGGUGCUCGAGUGGCGAACGGGUGAGUAACACGUGAGUAACCUGCCCUUGACUUUGGGAUAACUUCAGGAAACUGGGGCUAAUACCGGAUAGGAGCUCCUGCUGCAUGGUGGGGGUUGGAAAGUUUCGGCGGUUGGGGAUGGACUCGCGGCUUAUCAGCUUGUUGGUGGGGUAGUGGCUUACCAAGGCUUUGACGGGUAGCCGGCCUGAGAGGGUGACCGGCCACAUUGGGAUUGAGAUACGGCCCAGACUCUUACGGGAGGCAGCGGUGGGGAUUAUGGCACAAUGGGCGGAGGCCGGAUGCAGAAACGCGGCGUGCGGGAUGACGGCCUUCGGGUUGUAAACCGCUUUCGCCGGUGACGAAGCGGGAGUGACGGUAAUGGGUAAAGAAGCACCGGCUAACUACGU